GGGUUGUGAGGUUAAGCGACUAAGCGUACACGGUGGAUGCCCUGGCAGUCAGAGGCGAUGAAGGACGUGCUAAUCUGCGAAAAGCGUCGGUAAGGUGAUAUGAACCGUUAUAACCGGCGAUGUCCGAAUGGGGAAACCCAGUGCAAUUCGUUGCACUAUCGUUAACUGAAUACAUAGGUUAACGAGGCGAACCGGGGGAACUGAAACAUCUAAGUACCCCGAGGAAAAGAAAUCAACCGAGAUUCCCCCAGUAGCGGCGAGCGAACGGGGAGCAGCCCAGAGUCUGAAUCAGCUUGUGUGUUAGUGGAACGGUCUGGAAAGUCCGACGGUACAGGGUGAUAGUCCCGUACACCAAAAUGCACAGGCUGUGAACUCGAAGAGUAGGGCGGGACACGUGGUAUCCUGUCUGAAUAUGGGGGGACCAUCCUCCAAGGCUAAAUACUCCUGACUGACCGAUAGUGAACCAGUACCGUGAGGGAAAGGCGAAAAGAACCCCGGCGAGGGGAGUGAAAAAGAACCUGAAACCGUGUACGUACAAGCAGUGGGAGCACCUUCGGGUGUGACUGCGUACCUUUUGUAUAAUGGGUCAGCGACUUAUAUUCUGUAGCAAGGUUAACCGUAUAGGGGAGCCGCAGGGAAACCGAGUCUUAACUGGGCGUUAAGUUGCAGGGUAUAGACCCGAAACCCGGUGAUCUAGCCAUGGGCAGGUUGAAGGUUGGGUAACACUAACUGGAGGACCGAACCGACUAAUGUUGAAAAAUUAGCGGAUGACUUGUGGCUGGGGGUGAAAGGCCAAUCAAACCGGGAGAUAGCUGGUUCUCCCCGAAAGCUAUUUAGGUAGCGCCUCGUGAACUCAUCUUCGGGGGUAGAGCACUGUUUCGGCUAGGGGGUCAUCCCGACUUACCAACCCGAUGCAAACUACGAAUACCGAAGAAUGUUAUCACGGGAGACACACGGCGGGUGCUAACGUCCGUCGUGAAGAGGGAAACAACCCAGACCGCCAGCUAAGGUCCCAAAGUCAUGGUUAAGUGGGAAACGAUGUGGGAAGGCACAGACAGCCAGGAUGUUGGCUUAGAAGCAGCCAUCAUUUAAAGAAAGCGUAAUAGCUCACUGGUCGAGUCGGCCUGCGCGGAAGAUGUAACGGGGCUAAACCAUGCACCGAAGCUGCGGCAGCGACACUAUGUGUUGUUGGGUAGGGGAGCGUUCUGUAAGCCUGCGAAGGUGUGCUGUGAGGCAUGCUGGAGGUAUCAGAAGUGCGAAUGCUGACAUAAGUAACGAUAAAGCGGGUGAAAAGCCCGCUCGCCGGAAGACCAAGGGUUCCUGUCCAACGUUAAUCGGGGCAGGGUGAGUCGACCCCUAAGGCGAGGCCGAAAGGCGUAGUCGAUGGGAAACAGGUUAAUAUUCCUGUACUUGGUGUUACUGCGAAGGGGGGACGGAGAAGGCUAUGUUAGCCGGGCGACGGUUGUCCCGGUUUAAGCAUGUAGGCUGAUUGUCCAGGCAAAUCCGGAUAAUCAAGGCUGAGGUGUGAUGACGAGGCACUACGGUGCUGAAGUAACAAAUGCCCUGCUUCCAGGAAAAGCCUCUAAGCAUCAGGUAACAUCAAAUCGUACCCCAAACCGACACAGGUGGUCAGGUAGAGAAUACCAAGGCGCUUGAGAGAACUCGGGUGAAGGAACUAGGCAAAAUGGUGCCGUAACUUCGGGAGAAGGCACGCUGGUGUGUAGGUGAAGUCCCUGCGGAUGGAGCUGAGACCAGUCGAAGAUACCAGCUGGCUGCAACUGUUUAUUAAAAACACAGCACUGUGCAAACACGAAAGUGGACGUAUACGGUGUGACGCCUGCCCGGUGCCGGAAGGUUAAUUGAUGGGGUUAUCCGUAAGGAGAAGCUCUUGAUCGAAGCCCCGGUAAACGGCGGCCGUAACUAUAACGGUCCUAAGGUAGCGAAAUUCCUUGUCGGGUAAGUUCCGACCUGCACGAAUGGCGUAAUGAUGGCCAGGCUGUCUCCACCCGAGACUCAGUGAAAUUGAACUCGCUGUGAAGAUGCAGUGUACCCGCGGCAAGACGGAAAGACCCCGUGAACCUUUACUAUAGCUUGACACUGAACAUUGAGCCUUGAUGUGUAGGAUAGGUGGGAGGCUUUGAAGCGUGGACGCCAGUCUGCGUGGAGCCAACCUUGAAAUACCACCCUUUAAUGUUUGAUGUUCUAACGUUGGCCCCUGACCGGGGUUGCGGACAGUGUCUGGUGGGUAGUUUGACUGGGGCGGUCUCCUCCCAAAGCGUAACGGAGGAGCACGAAGGUUAGCUAAUCCUGGUCGGACAUCAGGAGGUUAGUGCAAUGGCAUAAGCUAGCUUGACUGCGAGCGUGACGGCGCGAGCAGGUGCGAAAGCAGGUCAUAGUGAUCCGGUGGUUCUGAAUGGAAGGGCCAUCGCUCAACGGAUAAAAGGUACUCCGGGGAUAACAGGCUGAUACCGCCCAAGAGUUCAUAUCGACGGCGGUGUUUGGCACCUCGAUGUCGGCUCAUCACAUCCUGGGGCUGAAGUAGGUCCCAAGGGUAUGGCUGUUCGCCAUUUAAAGUGGUACGCGAGCUGGGUUUAGAACGUCGUGAGACAGUUCGGUCCCUAUCUGCCGUGGGCGCUGGAGAAUUGAGGGGGGCUGCUCCUAGUACGAGAGGACCGGAGUGGACGCAUCACUGGUGUUCGGGUUGUCAUGCCAAUGGCACUGCCCGGUAGCUAAAUGCGGAAGAGAUAAGUGCUGAAAGCAUCUAAGCACGAAACUUGCCCCGAGAUGAAUUCUCCCUGAGACUUUAAGUCUCCUGAAGGAACGUUGAAGACGACGACGUUGAUAGGCCGGGUGUGUAAGCGCAGCGAUGCGUUGAGCUAACCGGUACUAAUGAACCGUGAGGCUUAACCUUACAACGCCGAAG
rnacentral:rRNA from 1 species